UGGGGAAUUUUGGACAAUGGGGGAAACCCUGAUCCAGCCAUCCCGCGUGUGCGAUGAAGGCCUUCGGGUUGUAAAGCACUUUUGGCAGGAAAGAAACGUCGCGGGUUAAUACCCCGCGGAACUGACGGUACCUGCAGAAUAAGCACCGGCUAACUACGUGCCAGCAGCCGCGGUAAUACGUAGGGUGCAAGCGUUAAUCGGAAUUACUGGGCGUAAAGCGUGCGCAGGCGGUUCGGAAAGAAAGAUGUGAAAUCCCAGAGCUUAACUUUGGAACUGCAUUUUUAACUACCGGGCUAGAGUGUGUCAGAGGGAGGUGGAAUUCCGCGUGUAGCAGUGAAAUGCGUAGAUAUGCGGAGGAACACCGAUGGCGAAGGCAGCCUCCUGGGAUAACACUGACGCUCAUGCACGAAAAGCGUGGGGAGCAAACAGGAUUAGAUACCCUGGUAGUCCACGCCCUAAAACGAUGUCAAACUAGCUGUUGGGGUCUUCGGACCUUGGUAGCGCAGCUAACGCGUGAAGUUGACCGCCUGGGGAGUACGGUCGCAAGAUUAAAAA
rnacentral:rRNA from 1 species